rnacentral:lncRNA from 1 species
GAACAAUUCCCAGCUGAAAGAACUGUGAGUAUCACCAGCUUCUUUCAGUACAUCCUCAAAAAUGGACCUUCUGUGGUGGAAAAAAGAUCUCCAAAGUGGGGUUUUUGAUCUGUGCCUCAGCUGUGGCAAUAAACACCACUGGCAGAACCAGUGGAAGAGCAGCCCUUUGCUCCCUUCCCAGAAAACAAAACUGGAAACUGGAGCAGAGCACAUGGGAAGGGUCAGCUGGAGCAUCCUGGGAAUGGAAGGUGCUACAGAGAAAUGUGAUUUUUAAAAAUGAUAAUGUUUGUCAAGUAAGCGAAAGACAAGAUCUCAAGGGUGGUUCAGCCCUCUAAAGUAAUCCUAAAAUUAAUUCAGAAAUGGAGAACUCCAGAUUGUAACGGAGAGGGGCUUUAACAUACACAGCACACUGUCCCCCAUUGGCACCCAGCAGGAAAGGAGCACAUCAGCAUCCACAAAAUUCCCACGGCUGUUUCAGGGACAAAGCAGCCCAAUCCAGGCAAGAGUGAAACUUAAUUUAGUCCUUCCCUUUUCUUUCAGGUGAAAGAACAGCAGUUCUGCUCUAAGUGAGCAUCACCUUCCUCUGUUUUGUCAGUGGCACCCAGCCUGGGUCACCCCUGGUCUGGGGAUCACCCCUGGUUUGGGGAUCACCCCACUGCCAAACCAUCCCUUUGACAACAACAGAACGUGCUGGGGAGUGUGGAACAACAAAAAUAGCCUUUUCCCCCACCCCUGUUUUCCCUGAUUUAAUCCAAAAUGCUACCAGCAGGGUGGACUAAUCCUGUAUUGCAUAAGAUUACAAACCUACAAUUACAGUCCCCACUAACCUGUAAAAGAUUUAAAAAUACACCUAGAUAGAGUUUCAGCAUUGAGAAGGCAGCUGAAAAAUUGGCAUUACAUUUCUACAUGUGCAUAUUGCUUUAAAUACAAUCAUGUUUUAAGGGAUUCUUUGAUUCUGUGAAUUUGAUGUCCAUUUCUUGAAUGGUUUGUAGCAUGGGUUGGCUGGAGCUAGCUCCUCUGCAAAAAAAGAGCACUUUUCCAGGAUUGAGGGAAAUCCCUCUACAUGAGAUAAUUCACAAGUGUUCUUUUUCUCAGGUUAGGUAGGAGGAUACUGCAGGUAUUGUUUCAGAGGAUGGGGAAACUGAGGAGCAGAUGGGCUGGAGCAGGGUGUGACCAAGGUCCAGUGGGAGAGGGCACCUGCAACCCAUGAAACAGAGCGAGGUUUUCCAGUUAAAUCAGGAGCAAUUCCUUCAUCUCACCGUGAUUUACCCUAAAGGAACACCCAGCCACAGAAGGGCAGGGAACAUGUGUCUUCUAAUAAAAUCUCUUUAACUUUGACA